GAUUUUCUUUCUUUCUCUAGUCAUUCAUUGGAUUUUUGAUUAUUUUGAUUGGCCAAUAUUUAUGAUUGCAACUUGAUUCCUUUACUGUCCAAUAGGAUUUUUGGAAUUUGACAUUAGCCAACUCGAUUUGUGAGCGGUGACAUAAAAUUGACACAAAAUUUGUCAAAAUACCGUAUAAACAUAAUUGCCUUUUCUCCAUUGUUUCUUUUAUGUUUUCUCCCGAGUUCCCCGAGUUUAUUUUAUCCAUUAAUCCGAAAUACUUAUCAAGAUUAAAUUACAGUCACCGUCUCACGUCAUCUCUCGUGUUCCCUUGCUGCAGUCACAAGACGCACUCUCUCUGACCGCCGAACAGCGAACGGCGCACACCUGUGCAAACAGCGGCCGAGUGAGACGGAACCUCGUACGAUGCGAACCUCAUAGUGGCGGGCGGCAGCGAGCGAGUUCGUUCCUGAUGUUAUAAUUGAUGGUACAAUGAGUGAGGAGGCGCAGAAUGCGAGCCCGACUCCCGCGCCCGAGGCCGCGCCCGCGGCGCACGCCGACGCCUCCACCAACGUGUCACAGGCACAGGUCGCUCAGAUGACAGCAAGCUCUGCGCCGCCCGGCGAGAAUGGCAAGUGGAGCUGCGAGGUGUGCACGUACGAAAACUUCCCGCUCUCGCGAAAGUGUGCUCCGCAGUGCACCAUGUGCCGCGCGCCCAAGACCUGCCUCAACGAGAACAUCUUCAAGCUGCAGGACGAUGCCAGCGCGCUGCCCACGCAGGACGUCUGCGGUGCGGAGGCGGUGGCGGAGCGCCUGAAGCCGCUGCGGAUAUCGUCGCCGCAGGGCCCGGCCGCCGCCUGCUCCGUCGUCAAGUGGCCCUGUCCGACGUGCACGUACGAGAACUGGCCGAAGGCGCUGAAGUGCGCCAUGUGCGGCGCCGCCGGCCCGCCCGCGCCCGCGCCCGCGCCCGCCGCCGCCCCAGCGCCGCCCAACAACAAGCACAUAGGCAUCAACGACAUCUGCAACAGCCAGGCGGCGCCCGAGGCCGAGGGCCGCCGCUCCAAGCGCCGCAACAACAAUAUCGACUGGAUCUGGCUGCAGGCCUGCCUUGGCGUGGUGGAAGGCGACCCGCGCUGCGUGGACGCGUACCUGGCCAGCGGCGGCGACCCGGCGCGCGCGCUCACGCCGCACGAGGUCGCGCUGCUCAACCGCGCCUCCGCCUUCGACGCCGGCCACACGCUCGUGCACCUGGCCAUAAGAUUUCAAAGGCAAGACAUCUUGUCGACGUUAUUAUCCCGGAUAUCGGGCGGCGGGCCCGGCCUCAAACGUUCCCCUUCCUACAUAGCGCCGGACCUGGCGGCGGCCAUCCGGCGGCACAUGGCGGGCUGCGUGCGCCACAAGAAGGGCAGCUUCCCGUGCCGCUACAUCAACGAGCUCAGCACCUUCGCGCUGCCCGCAGAGAUCGAGGAGCUCCCGGCGGCGAUACAGGAGCAGCUGUUCUCCGAGCUGUUGGACCGCGACGCGCAGCAGACGUUGGAGGCCGAGCCGCCGCUCAUCAACUGGAGCCACGAGCUUUCCGUCACGCUGGGGUCGCGGCUGUACGCGCUGUGGAACCGCUCGGCCGGCGACUGCCUGCCCGACGCCGUGUGCCAGGCGGCCUACGGCGUGUUCGACCGCCACAACGCGCUGCGCGCCGCGCUCGCCGACUCGCUGCACCACGCGCACAGGAGCUUCUACAGCCGCUGGCAGGGCUGGGAGCGCGUGCAGGCGGCGCUGCUGCAGUACGCGCCGGACGAGGCGCAGCUGCGCGCGGAGUGGGCGCGCCUCGUGGCCGCCGCCGCGCGCCCCGGCACGCCGCUGCACCAGGUACGCAUCGUGACCCGCGCCGUGGGUCACCGCCGGCAGGGCUGGGAGCGCGUGCAGGCGGCGCUGCUGCAGUACGCGCCGGACGAGGCGCAGCUGCGCGCGGAGUGGGCGCGCCUCGUGGCCGCCGCCGCGCGCCCCGGCACGCCGCUGCACCAGGUACGCAUCGUGACCCGCGCCGUGGGUCACCGCCGGCAGGGCUGGGAGCGCGUGCAGGCGGCGCUGCUGCAGUACGCGCCGGACGAGGCGCAGCUGCGCGCGGAGUGGGCGCGCCUCGUGGCCGCCGCCGCGCGCCCCGGCACGCCGCUGCACCAGGUACGCAUCGUGACCCGCGCCGUGGGUCACCGCCGGCAGGGCUGGGAGCGCGUGCAGGCGGCGCUGCUGCAGUACGCGCCGGACGAGGCGCAGCUGCGCGCGGAGUGGGCGCGCCUCGUGGCCGCCGCCGCGCGCCCCGGCACGCCGCUGCACCAGGUACGCAUCGUGACCCGCGCCGUGGGUCACCGCCGGCAGGGCUGGGAGCGCGUGCAGGCGGCGCUGCUGCAGUACGCGCCGGACGAGGCGCAGCUGCGCGCGGAGUGGGCGCGCCUCGUGGCCGCCGCCGCGCGCCCCGGCACGCCGCUGCACCAGGUACGCAUCGUGACCCGCGCCGUGGGUCACCGCCGGCAGGGCUGGGAGCGCGUGCAGGCGGCGCUGCUGCAGUACGCGCCGGACGAGGCGCAGCUGCGCGCGGAGUGGGCGCGCCUCGUGGCCGCCGCCGCGCGCCCCGGCACGCCGCUGCACCAGUUGCACGUGUUUGUGCUGGCGCACAUAAUGCGGCGGCCGAUCAUCGUGUACGGCGUCAACGUCGUCAACUCCUUCCGCGGCGAGGCGCUCGGCUUCGCGCGCUUCCAGGGGAUCUACUUACCGCUGCUGUGGGAGCCGGAGUUCUGCUCGCGCUCGCCGCUGUGCCUGGGCUACACGCGCGGACACUUCUCCGCGCUCGUGCCGCUCGAGCCCUACUCGCAGCGGCACACAUACAUCUGCCGAGAGCAACAAGAAGAGAACGAGGAGAUGACAUUCCUGCCGCUGACGGACUCCGAGGGGAAGCUACUGCCGGUGCACUUCCUCACCUGCGAUGAGAUGGCAGACGAAGAAGGCGUGGUCCGGCGUUGGCUGUCGGCGUGCGUCACCAGCGGCGGCGUCCUGGCGGCGCGGCAACAGCUGCACGCGCGCCCGCUGCUGCAGGCCCAGCUGCUGGAGGAGUGGCUCAACCACUACCGCCGCCUCGCGUGAGUGCGGCACACAGCCCCUAGCGUCUAGUGUAGUGCGAGUGGCGUGUGUACCAGCGGCGGCAGCUGUAGCGCGCCCGCUGCUGCAGGCCCAGCUGCUGGAGGAGUGGCUCAACCACUACCGCCGCCUCGCGUGAGUGCGGCACACAGCCCCUAGCGUCUAGUGUAGUGCGAGUGGCGUGUGUACCAGCGGCGGCAGCUGUAGCGCGCCCGCUGCUGCAGGCCCAGCUGCUGGAGGAGUGGCUCAACCACUACCGCCGCCUCGCGUGAGUGCGGCACACAGCCCCUAGCGUCUAGUGUAGUGCGAGUGGCGUGUGUACCAGCGGCGGCAGCUGUAGCGCGCCCGCUGCUGCAGGCCCAGCUGCUGGAGGAGUGGCUCAACCACUACCGCCGCCUCGCGUGAGUGCGGCACACAGCCCCUAGCGUCUAGUGUAGUGCGAGUGGCGUGUGUACCAGCGGCGGCAGCUGUAGCGCGCCCGCUGCUGCAGGCCCAGCUGCUGGAGGAGUGGCUCAACCACUACCGCCGCCUCGCGUGAGUGCGGCACACAGCCCCUAGCGUCUAGUGUAGUGCGAGUGGCGUGUGUACCAGCGGCGGCAGCUGUAGCGCGCCCGCUGCUGCAGGCCCAGCUGCUGGAGGAGUGGCUCAACCACUACCGCCGCCUCGCGUGAGUGCGGCACACAGCCCCUAGCGUCUAGUGUAGUGCGAGUGGCGUGUGUACCAGCGGCGGCAGCUGUAGCGCGCCCGCUGCUGCAGGCCCAGCUGCUGGAGGAGUGGCUCAACCACUACCGCCGCCUCGCGUGAGUGCGGCACACAGCCCCUAGCGUCUAGUGUAGUGCGAGUGGCGUGUGUACCAGCGGCGGCAGCUGUAGCGCGCCCGCUGCUGCAGGCCCAGCUGCUGGAGGAGUGGCUCAACCACUACCGCCGCCUCGCGUGAGUGCGGCACACAGCCCCUAGCGUCUAGUGUAGUGCGAGUGGCGUGUGUACCAGCGGCGGCAGCUGUAGCGCGCCCGCUGCUGCAGGCCCAGCUGCUGGAGGAGUGGCUCAACCACUACCGCCGCCUCGCGUGAGUGCGGCACACAGCCCCUAGCGUCUAGUGUAGUGCGAGUGGCGUGUGUACCAGCGGCGGCAGCUGUAGCGCGCCCGCUGCUGCAGGCCCAGCUGCUGGAGGAGUGGCUCAACCACUACCGCCGCCUCGCGUGAGUGCGGCACACAGCCCCUAGCGUCUAGUGUAGUGCGAGUGGCGUGUGUACCAGCGGCGGCAGCUGUAGCGCGCCCGCUGCUGCAGGCCCAGCUGCUGGAGGAGUGGCUCAACCACUACCGCCGCCUCGCACAACAGACUCGCGGGCCGUUCCCGCCGCGGCUGCCCAACGAAUACUCCAGCGACCCCGACACCGACGACGAGUGACGCGCGACGCUCGCCAC